AAGACCUGCACGGCAAAAGGACAUGGUUUGAUAAAAACUCAAUCAUGUCACAUUUAUGGUUUGUAGCACCACCAAACUCACAUCACACAUCAAUGAACUCCCUCUGGUUGUACUACAGCACUUAGAUUGGAAAAAUGUACUAUUAUAUCAUUUCAGGGAUUUUUUUUUAUUGUAAUAAAUUUGAAUAAAAAUCUCAACAACUUUUUAUUUAUAUCUUGUAGUGCAACCAAACUCACAUCACACAUCA